UACGUAGGGUGCAAGCGUUGUCCGGAAUUAUUGGGCGUAAAGAGCUCGUAGGCGGCUUGUCACGUCGGAUGUGAAAGCCCGGGGCUUAACUCCGGGUCUGCAUUCGAUACGGGCUGGCUAGAGUGUGGUAGGGGAGAUCGGAAUUCCUGGUGUAGCGGUGAAAUGCGCAGAUAUCAGGAGGAACACCGGUGGCGAAGGCGGAUCUCUGGGCCAUUACUGACGCUGAGGAGCGAAAGCGUGGGGGGCGAACAGG
rnacentral:rRNA from 1 species